rnacentral:rRNA from 1 species
UACGGAGGGUGCAAGCGUUAAUCGGAAUUACUGGGCGUAAAGCGCACGCAGGCGGUUUGUUAAGUUAGAUGUGAAAUCCCCGGGCUUAACCUGGGAACUGCAUUUAAGACUGGCAGGCUAGAGUCUUGUAGAGGGGGGUAGAAUUCCAUGUAUAGCGGUGAAAUGCGUAGAGAUGUGGAGGAAUACCGGUGGCGAAGGCGGCCCCCUGGACAAAGACUGACGCUCAGGUGCGAAAGCGUGGGGAGCAAACAGG